rnacentral:rRNA from 1 species
AGAGUUUGAUCCUGGCUCAGGAUGAACGCUAGCGGCAGGCCUAAUACAUGCAAGUCGAACGGUGAUAGCAAUAUCAUAGUGGCGCACGGGUGCGUAACACGUAUGCAACCUACCUUAUACUGAGGGAUAGCCUUUCGAAAGGGAGAUUAAUACCUCAUAACACAUUGAACUGGCAUCAGUUUAUUGUUAAAGAUUUAUUGGUAUAAGAUGGGCAUGCGUCCAAUUAGUUAGUUGGCGAGGUAACGGCUCACCAAGACGAUGAUUGGUAGGGGAACUGAGAGGUUAAUCCCCCACACUGGCACUGAGAUACGGGCCAGACUCCUACGGGAGGCAGCAGUAGGGAAUAUUGGGCAAUGGAGGCAACUCUGACCCAGCCAUGCCGCGUGCAGGAAGAAGGCGUUAUGCGUUGUAAACUGCUUUUAUAUAGGAAGAAAUAGACCUUGCGAGGUAAGUUGACGGUACUAUAUGAAUAAGCACCGGCUAACUCCGUGCCAGCAGCCGCGGUAAUACGGAGGGUGCAAGCGUUGUCCGGAUUUAUUGGGUUUAAAGGGUGCGUAGGCGGUUUAUUAAGUCAGUGGUGAAAGACGGUCGCUCAACGAUUGCAGUGCCAUUGAUACUGGUAGACUUGAGUGGGAUUGAGGUAGCUGGAAUGGAUAGUGUAGCGGUGAAAUGCAUAG